rnacentral:rRNA from 1 species
ACGCUGGCGGCGUGCCUAAUACAUGCAAGUCGAACGCACAGCGAAAGGUGCUUGCACCUUUCAAGUGAGUGGCGAACGGGUGAGUAACACGUGGACAACCUGCCUCAAGGCUGGGGAUAACAUUUGGAAACAGAUGCUAAUACCGAAUAAAACUUAGUGUCGCAUGACACAAAGUUAAAAGGCGCUUCGGCGUCACCUAGAGAUGGAUCCGCGGUGCAUUAGUUAGUUGGUGGGGUAAAGGCCUACCAAGACAAUGAUGCAUAGCCGAGUUGAGAGACUGAUCGGCCACAUUGGGACUGAGACACGGCCCAAACUCCUACGGGAGGCUGCAGUAGGGAAUCUUCCACAAUGGGCGAAAGCCUGAUGGAGCAACGCCGCGUGUGUGAUGAAGGCUUUCGGGUCGUAAAGCACUGUUGUAUGGGAAGAACAGCUAGAAUAGGAAAUGAUUUUAGUUUGACGGUACCAUACCAGAAAGGGACGGCUAAAUACGUGCCAGCAGCCGCGGUAAUACGUAUGUCCCGAGCGUUAUCCGGAUUUAUUGGGCGUAAAGCGAGCGCAGACGGUUUAUUAAGUCUGAUGUGAAAGCCCAGAGCUCAACUCCGGAAUGGCAUUGGAAACUGGUUGACUUGAGUGCAGUAGAGGUAAGUGGAACUCCAUGUGUAGCGGUGGAAUGCGUAGAUAUAUGGAAGAACACCAGUGGCGAAGGCGGCUUACUGGACUGCAACUGACGUUGAGGCUCGAAAGUGUGGGUAGCAAAC